GAUGAACGCUCGCGGCAGGCCUAAUACAUGCAAGUCGAACGGGAUCCAGAUCAAAGCUUGCUUUGGUUUGGUGAGAGUGGCGCACGGGUGCGUAACGCGUGAGCAACCUACCCUUGUCAGGGGGAUAGCCCGGCGAAAGUCGGAUUAAUACCGCAUGACAUCAUUGAGAGGCAUCUUUCUAUGAUCAAAGAUUUAUCGGACAAGUAUGGGCUCGCGUGACAUUAGCUAGUUGGUAAGGUAACGGCUUACCAAGGCUACGAUGUCUAGGGGCUAUGAGAGGAGAAUCCCCCACAAUGGUACUGAGACACGGACCAGACUCCUACGGGAGGCAGCAGUAAGGAAUAUUGGUCAAUGGACGGAAGUCUGAACCAGCCAUGCCGCGUGCAGGAAGACGGCCCUAUGGGUUGUAAACUGCUUUUAUACGGGAACAAACGUCGGUACGUGUACCGGUCUGAGUGUACCGUAAGAAUAAGGAUCGGCUAACUCCGUG
rnacentral:rRNA from 1 species